rnacentral:lncRNA from 1 species
GGAGGACUAGCACUCUGUGACUUUGUGUCUAGCUCAAGGAUUGUAAAUGCACCAAUCAGCACUCUGUGUCUAGUUCAGGGUUUGUAAAUACACCAAUCAGCACUCUGUGUCUAGCGCAAGGUUUGUAAGUACACCAAUUGGUACUUUGUAUCUAGCUAACUCAGUAUCUAGCUAACUAGCACUCUGUGACUCUGUGUCUAGCUCAAGGAUUGUAAACGCACCAAUCAGCACUCUGUCAAAACGGACCAAUCAGCUUUCUGUAAAAUAGACCAAUGAGCAGGAUGUGGGUGGGGCCAGAUAAGGGAAUAAAAGCAGGCUGCCCAGCCUAGCCGCAGUAACCGACUCCUGUCUGCUUCCACAGUGUGCAAGCUUUUCUCUUUUGCUCUUUGUAUGGCUCUUGCUGCUACUCACCUUUUGGGUCCACGCUGCCUUUAAGCGCUGUAAGACUCACCAGGAAGGUCUGCAGCUUUACUCCUGACAGUGAGACCACGAACCCACCAGAAGGAAGAAGCUCCAGACACAUCUGAACAGUCUGAAGGAACAAACUCCGAACACACCAUCUUUAAGAACUGUAUAACACUCACCGGGAGGGUCCGCGGCUUCAUUCUUGAAGUCGGUGAGACCAAAAACCCAUCAAUUCCGGACACGAGGACUCCAUUGGUGCAAACGCAGUAUCAACAUUUCCAUGAUAACUUACAGGGAAAGAGUGACUCACCAAGAUGUGAUCAAUGCUUCUCAUUUCCUCUCCUGGAGAGUUUCUAAGAUAUUAGUUCUUUGUUUCUAAGAACUGGCUCUGCUUUACCAUAGCAAAAGGGUUAACACGUUUCAUGUCUCUUGUACCACUGAGGAUCAAAGUCUAAAGAGCAAUGGCGUGGAAACCCAGAAAGAGAAAUGGAGGGAAAGAUGAGAAGAAGGGAGGAUAUCUGAUACUGUCCCUGAGAGACCUCAUAGGAGACCCUGGCGCUGGAAUACAUGGCCCUCAAAGGGGCACCCUACAAAAGUCCAGAUGCCCCUAGAACUGACUCUGGCCCUGUGGUAAUCUGGAGACAACUUGCCUGAAUCCCAGGAGCCUGGAACAUCUUGCAAGCCUUAGGAUCCUGCCUGGCAAGCUGCCCAGGUGAGCAGACGUAAUGGUCCUUAGGUUUAAGUCCACACACUCCAAAUUAACAGCUUCACCUCGAUAGGAGUCCCUACCACCCCAGGCCUAAGGGACUUACCAGACGAAGUAGGAGCGUCUCCGGUACAUGACUUUGAAAUUGGACUGGGAGACCUACAGCUGGAAACAAGGAGGAAAAACACCCUGGCGACAAAGUCAAAAAGAACUCACUCCUAUUAAAAUGUGAUCUAGGAAUUUAAGCAAAACAUAGGUUCUUGACAAUGAGCACUGUCAGAUAUUAGAAUGCAUCAAAGAAAUGCAAAUUAUUUCUCCUGAGAAGUCUUUAAGAAAUAGAUUGCAGGGAUUAGUUUAAU